GAAUCAUGGCUCAGGAUGAACGCUGGCGGCGUGCUUAACACAUGCAAGUCGAACGAUGAAGCCCAGCUUGCUGGGUGGAUUAGUGGCGAACGGGUGAGUAACACGUGAGUAACCUGCCCUUAACUCUGGGAUAAGCCUGGGAAACUAGGUCUAAUACCGGAUAGGAGCGCCUACCGCAUGGUGGGUGUUGGAAAGAUUUAUCGGUUUUGGAUGGACUCGCGGCCUAUCAGCUUGUUGGUGAGGUAAUGGCUCACCAAGGCGACGACGGGUAGCCGGCCUGAGAGGGUGACCGGCCACACUGGGACUGAGACACGGCCCAGACUCCUACGGGAGGCAGCAGUGGGGAAUAUUGCACAAUGGGCGAAAGCCUGAUGCAGCGACGCCGCGUGAGGGAUGACGGCCUUCGGGUUGUAAACCUCUUUCAGUAGGGAAGAAGCGAAAGUGACGGUACCUGCAGAAGAAGCACCGGCUAACUACGUGCCAGCAGCCGCGGUAAUACGUAGGGUGCGAGCGUUAUCCGGAAUUAUUGGGCGUAAAGAGCUCGUAGGCGGUUUGUCGCGUCUGUCGUGAAAGUCCGGGGCUUAACCCCGGAUCUGCGGUGGGUACGGGCAGACUAGAGUGCAGUAGGGGAGACUGGAAUUCCUGGUGUAGCGGUGGAAUGCGCAGAUAUCAGGAGGAACACCGAUGGCGAAGGCAGGUCUCUGGGCUGUAACUGACGCU
rnacentral:rRNA from 1 species